GGUGGACUGUGUAGUAAGUUGUCCCAACAGUGUUGAUUGGUGUUCAGUCACGGGAUUGUCGAGACUUAGUUAUUUACAGACUGCUGUCUGAUGCCGAGCGCAGUGUCAAGCAACAAACACGUCCACCACAUUAAUGAUCAGUCCUUGACAUUAUGGUCGUAAGUGUAACUAUCUCUAUAACUUAAACCUAAACUUUGUUAGCACUAUCAAACCAUGAAUUGCCACUGCAUUUACUCCUCUCUAGUCAUGUGUGCCCUCACACACCCUCACACUCUCUUUCUUCAGUCCCACAUUAACCCAGGUUCAUCAACCCUAUGAGGAUAUGUUGUCCCUUGUGGUUGCUACCUUCACUCUCACAUGUACUGUAGAGACGUGUCCAGUAGUUGGACAGAGGUGUGACAAGCACCUGUUUCACUGUAGACCUGGGUAGGACUUGUCUGUCUGCACACUCACUGCACACAGCACCCAGCACACACAGCACCCAGGGUACCACUGGUCAAGAUAUUGGCAGGACAGAGGUGUGACAAGCACCUGUUUCACUGUAGACCUGGGUAGGACUUGUCUGUCUGCACACUCACUGCACACACACAGCACCCAGGGUACCACUGGUCAAGAUAUUGGCAGGACAGAGGUGUGACAAGCACCUGUUUCACUGUAGACCUGGGUAGGACUUGUCUGUCUACACAGUCACUGCAUGCUCACUCACAGGAUAGUGGCUGAUAUAUAAGGAUAAGUCAUAAACCCUUGUUGUGUGUAUAAUGGAAA